GACGAACGCUGGCGGCGUGCCUAAUACAUGCAAGUCGAGCGGACAGAUGGGAGCUUGCUCCCUGAUGUUAGCGGCGGACGGGUGAGUAACACGUGGGUAACCUGCCUGUAAGACUGGGAUAACUCCGGGAAACCGGGGCUAAUACCGGAUGGUUGUUUGAACCGCAUGGUUCAACAUAAAAGGUGGCUUCGGCUACCACUUACAGAUGGACCCGCGGCGCAUUAGCUAGUUGGUGAGGUAACGGCUCACCAAGGCAACGAUGCGUAGCCGACCUGAGAGGGUGAUCGGCCACACUGGGACUGAGACACGGCCCAGACUCCUACGGGAGGCAGCAGUAGGGAAUCUUCCGCAAUGGACGAAAGUCUGACGGAGCAACGCCGCGUGAGUGAUGAAGGUUUUCGGAUCGUAAAGCUCUGUUGUUAGGGAAGAACAAGUGCCGUUCAAAUAGGGCGGCACCUUGACGGUACCUAACCAGAAAGCCACGGCUAACUACGUGCCAGCAGCCGCGGUAAUACGUAGGUGGCAAGCGUUGUCCGGAAUUAUUGGGCGUAAAGGGCUCGCAGGCGGUUUCUUAAGUCUGAUGUGAAAGCCCCCGGCUCAACCGGGGAGGGUCAUUGGAAACUGGGGAACUUGAGUGCAGAAGAAGAGAGUGGAAUUCCACGUGUAGCGGUGAAAUGCGUAGAGAUGUGGAGGAACACCAGUGGCGAAGGCGACUCUCUGGUCUGUAACUGACGCUGAGGAGCGAAAGCGUGGGGAGCGAACAGGAUUAGAUACCCUGGUAGUCCACGCCGUAAACGAUGAGUGCUAAGUGUUAGGGGGUUUCCGCCCCUUAGUGCUGCAGCUAACGCAUUAAGCACUCCGCCUGGGGAGUACGGUCGCAAGACUGAAACUCAAAGGAAUUGACGGGGGCCCGCACAAGCGGUGGAGCAUGUGGUUUAAUUCGAAGCAACGCGAAGAACCUUACCAGGUCUUGACAUCCUCUGACAAUCCUAGAGAUAGGACGUCCCCUUCGGGGGCAGAGUGACAGGUGGUGCAUGGUUGUCGUCAGCUCGUGUCGUGAGAUGUUGGGUUAAGUCCCGCAACGAGCGCAACCCUUGAUCUUAGUUGCCAGCAUUCAGUUGGGCACUCUAAGGUGACUGCCGGUGACAAACCGGAGGAAGGUGGGGAUGACGUCAAAUCAUCAUGCCCCUUAUGACCUGGGCUACACACGUGCUACAAUGGACAGAACAAAGGGCAGCGAAACCGCGAGGUUAAGCCAAUCCCACAAAUCUGUUCUCAGUUCGGAUCGCAGUCUGCAACUCGA
rnacentral:rRNA from 1 species